GCCUUUGUAGCUUAAUGGUAGAGCAUAAUACUGUUAAUAUUGUGGUUCUAUUCAUCUUAAGGGCU
rfam:Pseudogymnoascus pannorum VKM F-4515 (FW-2607) contig_2338, whole genome shotgun sequence.